rnacentral:lncRNA from 1 species
GUGAGGGUGGUAUAUUCAAUACCAACUUCAUGUUCAUAUUCUUCCGAUAAUGAAUAUGUAUCCGUGAGUCAAAUGUUGUCACAUUCACUGCCGGGAUAUGUGUUUUUGUUAUCCUUUUCAAAUCGGUAAAUGCGUCUGGCAUUCGAUUUGCUAUUCUUUGCAAAUGGAUAAUAUUUUGCGCCUCUUUUUCACAAAUAGAGGUAUGUGGAUCAAGAUGAGAUAAUGNN